GGUUUUUCUAUCUUUUUACUAGCAAAUUGUGUAUUGGAAAGUACAUGAUUUCAACCAAAGUAAUCACUUAAACAGGAGAAAAUACUCAGCGCACCAGAGAAGACUGGCAGCAGCUCCCGACCCACUGGUAGGCCCGCCGGUUUGAUCCAGCGCCAGAUGAAGACAACACAGCGGUGUUGGUGCCCCCCCCCCACGAACAAGAGAAAGAGGGACUCGCUGAGGCUCCUAGAUGAAAACUGAAGCCCACUGGAAAAGUGAAGAAAAUCUGUGAUAAAGGCACAUACCACACCACCAUAAUUGGUAAGUCGGAGGGACCAGCACCUGAUAUCGGAAC
rnacentral:lncRNA from 1 species